rnacentral:rRNA from 1 species
CAAGUCGCACGAAGAAGUGGAGCAAUCCAUGAGUACAGUGGCGUACGGGUGAGUAACACGUGGAUCAUCUACCCUUUAGUGGGGAAUAACCCUGGGAAACCGGGGCUAAUACCGCAUAAGCCUGGAAAGGGAAAGCAGCAAUGCGCUGAAGGAGGAGUCCGCGGCCGAUUAGCUAGUUGGUAGGGUAAUGGCCUACCAAGGCAAUGAUCGGUAGCCGGCCUGAGAGGGCACACGGCCACACUGGCACUGAAACACGGGCCAGACUCCUACGGGAGGCAGCAGUGGGGAAUCUUGCACAAUGGGGGAAACCCUGAUGCAGCGACGCCGCGUGAGCGAUGAAGCCCUUCGGGGUGUAAAGCUCUUUCGGCAGGAACGAUAAUGACGGUACCUGAAGAAGAAGCUGCGGCUAACUACGUGCCAGCAGCCGCGGUAAUACGUAGGCAGCAAGCGUUGUUCGGAGUUACUGGGCGUAAAGAGUGUGUAGGCUGUUCUCUAAGUUUGGUGUGAAAUCUCCCGGCUUAACUGGGAGGGUGCGCCGAAAACUGGAGGGCUUGAGUAUGGGAGAGGAAAGCGGAAUUCCUGGUGUAGCGGUGAAAUGCGUAGAUAUCAGGAGGAACACCUGCGGUGUAGACGGCUUUCUGGACCAUCACUGACGCUGAGACACGAAAGCGUGGGGAGCAAACAGGAUUAGAUACCCUGGUAGUCCACGCCCUAAACGAUGCAUACUUGGUGUGAGCCGUUCAUUCGGUUCGUG